rnacentral:rRNA from 1 species
CAGCAGCCACGGGAAUACAGAGGGUGCGAGCGUUAAUCGGAUUUACUGGGCGUAAAGCGUGCGUAGGCGGCUUUUUAAGUCGGAUGUGAAAUCCCUGAGCUUAACUUAGGAAUUGCAUUCGAUACUGGGAAGCUAGAGUAUGGGAGAGGAUGGUAGAAUUCCAGGUGUAGCGGUGAAAUGCGUAGAGAUCUGGAGGAAUACCGAUGGCGAAGGCAGUUAUCUGGCCUAAUACUGACGCUGAGGUACGAAAGCAUGGGGAGCAAACAGGAUUAGAUACCCGCGUAGUCCCUGUCUCUUAUAC